GAUGAACGCUAGCGGCAGGCUUAAUACAUGCAAGUCGAGGGGUAGCAAGAUUGUAGCAAUACAAUUGUUGACGACCGGCAAACGGGUGCGGAACACGUACACAACCUUCCUACAAGUGGGGAAUAGCCCAGAGAAAUUUGGAUUAAUACCCCGUAACAUAGCGAUGUGGCAUCACAUUGCUAUUAUAGCUUCGGCGCUUGUUGAUGGGUGUGCGGCUGAUUAGAUAGUUGGCGGGGUAACGGCCCACCAAGUCGACGAUCAGUAGCUGAUGUGAGAGCAUGGUCAGCCACACGGGCACUGAGACACGGGCCCGACCCCUACGGGAGGCAGCAGUAAGGAAUAUUGGACAAUGGACGCAAGUCUGAUCCAGCCAUGCCGCGUGAAGGAUUAAGGUCCUCUGGAUUGUAAACUUCUUUUAUAAGGGACGAAAAAAGGUCUUUCUAGAUCGUCUGACGGUACCUUAUGAAUAAGCACCGGCUAACUCCGUGCCAGCCGCCGCGGUAAUAC
rnacentral:rRNA from 1 species